AGAUUCCUACGGGACGCAGCAGUGGGGAAUAUUGCACAAUGGGGGGAACCCUGGUGCAGCGACGCCGCGUGAGUGAAGAAGUAUUUCGGGAUGUAAAACUCUAUCAGCAGGGAAGAUAAUGACGGUACCUGACUAAGAAGCCCCGGCUAACUACGUGCCAGCAGCCGCGGUAAUACGUAGGGGGCAAGCGUUAUCCGGAUUUACUGGGGGGAAAGGGUGCGUAGGUGGCAGGGCAAG
rnacentral:rRNA from 1 species